AGCGAACGCUGGCGGCAGGCCUAACACAUGCAAGUCGAACGAAGCCUUCGGGCUUAGUGGCGGACGGGUGAGUAACACGUGGGAACGUACCUUUUGGUUCGGAAUAACGCAGAGAAAUUUGCGCUAAUACCGAAUGAGCCCUUCGGGGGAAAGAUUUAUCGCCGAAAGAUCGGCCCGCGUUGGAUUAGGUAGUUGGUGUGGUAAAGGCGCACCAAGCCUACGAUCCAUAGCUGGUCUGAGAGGAUGAUCAACCACACUGGGACUGAGACACGGCCCAGACUCCUACGGGAGGCAGCAGUGGGGAAUCUUGCGCAAUGGGCGAAAGCCUGACGCAGCCAUGCCGCGUGAAUGAUGAAGGUCUUAGGAUUGUAAAAUUCUUUUACCAGGGACGGUAAUGACGGUACCUGGAGAAAAAGCCCCGGCUAACUUCGUGCCAGCCGCCGCCGUAAGAC
rnacentral:rRNA from 1 species